rnacentral:lncRNA from 1 species
AAAGCUUGAAAUUACAAGAGAAAACUGCUAAAAGUAGAACGCCAUCACUUUGUUUAAAUUGAACAAUUAGUGUAGAUAUUACUAUUCGUUACCACCAGCAUGGAUUUUUUGCCAACUUAAAUUAUUCCCUUUCAAAGAAUAAGUGAUGAGUGGUGGUACCAUCUUUAUUUUUCUCACUCCAGAUUUUAAAUACCAUAGGAUUCGAGGAGAAAUCAUUUGGAA